AAAGGCUUUGACUACUUGACAAGUGUAAUAGAAUGUCAGUGACAAUUUAUAAAGAGAUUUUGUAUGAAGAGAAUAAAUAAAUAAAAAACUAAAAAUACUACAAUCUGAGAAAAGGAAUAUUGGAAAAAUAUUUUUGUAAUAACGUAUCUUAUUUAAACAUUUUUAAAUAAUGGGUAAAUACCGUGUUUUAAAAGAGGACAUAUAUUAUAAUAAAAAAUCAAUACAUAAAAUGAAAUGGCUGUAUGGGCAUAGUUCCCUUUGCCUUACCCUUCGGGGAAAACCAAAUCAAAAAAGAAGUUGUUGCCUCAGAACAAUAACUAAAGCAUAGAAGGAAGGCUAAAAUAAGAAUUCAGAAACUAUAAACCGGCUCUCUUCUAGCUUACGACACAAACUAUGAGUGAGAAAAGGACAAAUGAUUCGCUCUUUGCUUCAUUUUUUCCGAGGUUGUCACAACAUGAAAUGUCAUUUGGACCUAUUGGACUCAUUUUAACUCGGCCAAAUACAUAGUAACAUACAUAAGAAGAUUUUACUUAUAUUUACCGAACUAUUUGACACGGUCGCGUCAACUGUGUUUACGAGUGUCUUGUGUUCAGAUUGUUUUAAGUGAUAAUUUAACAAUAUUUUUCCAAAUAAAUGGAAAGAAACUUUUAUUUAUAUCAAAUAAUUGAGUGUCUCGACUGUGUGACAUUAUGUCUUGUGUGGUAUGGGGCUGCAGCUCACAUUCAGGAAGAAAAGAAAAUAGCCAACAACUUCUGUCGUUUCAUCGAUAUUAAAUCCAAAAGUGUCGACUGGAUUUACAUGAAAAGUCAGUUCAAGAAGACGAGAUGAAAAAUUUAAAAGAAAAGCUGAACAAGUCCCGCCUCAAGAUCAAACGACUUAAUGAAAAAAA